GCCCGUGUGGUGUAGUGGUUGCAUUCCAUGAGGUGGGAAUUUAUACUUCCUAUCUCAUGGGGCCCAGGUUCGACCCCUGGUGCGGGCA
rnacentral:tRNA from 1 species